AUUAUUUUAGUGUAAUAUAGCACGGUUAACUUCCAAUUAAUAGGAGAAUAAAUAAUA
rnacentral:tRNA from 1 species